rnacentral:rRNA from 1 species
UACGGGGGGGGCAAGCGUUGUUCGGAAUUACUGGGCGUAAAGGGCUCGUAGGUGGCCAACUAAGUCAGACGUGAAAUCCCUCGGCUUAACCGGGGAACUGCGUCUGAUACUGGAUGGCUUGAGUUCGGGAGAGGGAUGCGGAAUUCCAGGUGUAGCGGUGAAAUGCGUAGAUAUGGGGAGGAACACCGGUGGCGAAGGCGGCCACCUGGACGGUAACUGACGCUGAGACGCGAAAGCGUGGGGAGCGAACAGG